UGGAUUCACACCUAAGAAGCUCAAAGAAAGGAGUUGUGAUCUAAUUGCAGACUUUAUAGUUAAAACUUAACGAUUCAACAAACUGGUGUUUCACAGUUCUCUUAAAUUGGAAAUAACGCAGACCACGUGUUUUGAGGGGAGCCACAGAAGUGAAAAUUCAGUUAACUCUAGCAUGUUCCAUCUGCUGUUUUUUAGUGUCUAGAAAUAGCUCUUUGUUGUCCCAGGGAAAUAAGAUUUCCACAGAAACCUGGCAGUGCUUUCCUAAAGUUGGGUGACUUAAAGAACUGCUAAAAGACAUACCAGAAUUUCAUUGGAUUUAAUUUCACUGAUUUUUUUUUUAAAUGGAAAACUAACUUUUCUGCAAUUUGGAAAACUACUUCCAGUUGGAUUAGACUGUAUUUCAACUAUUUUUAGCUACAUGAGUACAUCUAACUGAAAAUCUACAUAGCUGCCAGUAUUUUGAAUUGCUUCAUUCUAAUCUGAUAACUUACAGAUAGGCAAAAAGUUGACAUCUUUAUUUUUAUCUGUAUACUUGAAAGUUUAGAUAUCUUACUAAAGUUGGGGUUACAUAAAACAUUUCAGUAACUUUAGGGAUGCAAAAUCUUGAAAAAUGUCUUAAACUACAAAAAAAAUUUCCUAAAUAGAACAAAUUUCAGAGCCAUUUAAAUAAAGGUUGAUUAUUUUAAGGUCAUUCUAUUUAGGUAGUCAAAACUCAAGAGUAAGAUAGGAAUCAUUUUAGCCAUCAUCUGAGUAAACAAGUCUUGUUCGGAUCCAUUAACACAAGACAGAAUAUACUGCAUCUGAACAAAUGCAAGAUGCUGUUGGUUACAGGGCGCCUCAGCAAGCAAAAUCACUGGCUUUCACGGAUAUUAAAAUGUGGGGUAUACCAUCUGGUAGUAAGCCUUGUCAUGACAAAUGUCAUUUUGCAUCUGGAAGUAGAUUUUUGUCGUGGGCUUUUCUCACAUAUGCUUUUUUUUUUUCCAUUAGUGGAACUUAGGAAUCCUAUUUGUGUAAUUGUUAACAAAGCUGGCCAAUUUACAAGUUUAUGAAGAAACAGCUUGAUGGAACUGAACCUUUGAGGAGUCACCAAAUUAUGAAGUGCCCUGUGUAAGCGGUCUUCUUGAGGUAGUUUUGUGUCGUAGCUUCUAGUUUUCAUAUACAUUAUAGUUAAGACACCAAGUGGACUUUCUUGCUCUGCCAGAAUGGUUCAGCUGCCCUGGACUUUCCUCUGCCUGUCACAAUACUCCCUAUGUUAGAAAAUGAGUAUAGAGGCCGAGUGCAGUGGCUCACACCUGCAAUCCCACCACUUGAAAAGGCUGAGGCGGGCGGAUCACCUGAGGUCAGGAGUUCGAGACCAGCCUGGCCAACAUGGUGAAACCCUGUCUACUAAAAUUACAAAAAUUAACCAGAUGUGAUGGCGCGCACCUGUAAUCGCAGCUACUCGGGAGGCUGAGGCACGAAAACCCGAGAGGCAGAGGUUGCAGUGAGCCAAGCUGGUGCCACUGCACUCCAGCCUGGGUGACCGAGUGAAACUGUCUCAAAAAAGUAUAGAAACUGGCCUAUGUAGCCUUCCCAUUGCUAGCCAAACUCCCCAGAGGUAACCAAGUGGGGGGCACCUUGCAAAAUAGUGAGAAUUGUGUUCUUUUUUUUUUUUUUUAAGAUGGAGUUUUACUCUUCUUGCUCAGGCUGGAGUGCAAUGGUGCUUAACCGCACCUCUGCCUGCCACUUCAAGCAAUUCUCCUGACUCAGCCUCCUGAGUAGCUGGGAUUACAGGCAUGUGCCACCACGCCUAGCUAAUUUUGUAUUUUUAGUAGGGACGGGAUUUCUCCAUGUUGGUCAGGUUGGUCUCGAACUCCUGACCUCAGGUGAUCCACCCACCUUGGCCUCCCAAAGUGUUGGGAUUACAGGCGUUAGCCACUGCGCCCAGCCUGUGCUAAUUUUCUAUUUAUAUUCAACCUUAUAGAUGUGUUUAAAAACCAAGAUGGAUACUCGGGAUAUUGGAAAGGUUUUUCCAUGGAGUCCUAAAAGCAAUUCAGUUGCAUGAGGAAUAGAAAUGUAUUCUUAACAGUGUUGCUGCUGUGUUUCUUAAAUCAUUUGCCAUUAAUUCUCUCAUGUUCUCAUCUAAUUCUUCCCCCACCCAUUAAAACAUUGGGUACACCACGUAUGGAGUUCAGAAGUAAGGAUAAUUUGGACUGAGUCUUAAUUCCCAUGCUACUGGGACCAACAAGAAGGAAGGAUUUGCUUCUUGGAGGUUCAGAAUUGCAUUCCCUUCUGACCCACCAACUACUGCCUACACAAUGCCUGUUAGCAAGAGGAAGCAUUUGCAGAAUAUCAAGGAAAUGAGUCAACAUUUAGGGCACAUGGUGUAUUCAGUGAAAACCCUUCAGAAUCCAUUUUCCUCGGGUGUCUACAUGUUUAGGAUGUGGCCCUUAUUUCUUGAUGUAAAUGAAUGUGUUCUGGGUGAUUAAGGAAACAACUUUUUCAGGCUGUGUUUAAAAGUCUAGAUGGGACUGCUUAAAUUGGUGAGUUAGUACCUUAGCUUACUGAAAAUAUUAAUCAGUAGUACUAGUAAUUAGUUCUUCCAGCCAUCUACUUUCGGAAUGUUUUCUUAAGCAUUUAUUAUGACUUUUUUUCUAGCAAAAUGGGCCUUAUGCAGAUUCCCAAAAUAUCUUCUUUAGGAAGUCUGACUUAAUCAAAGAAUAAAUAUACUAAAGAGACUUGAAAGCUAAAGCUAUUAGGUUGGUUUUAAAUAACCAAGCUUUUAGAUUGUAGUUAGCCUUUUCUAUUGCUCCAAGAUUGGAAUUUGUUUGUUUGUUUGUUUUUUUAUUGAGACAGAGUCUCGCUCUGUGGCCCAGGCUGGAGUGCAGUGGUGUGAUCUCAGUUUACUGCAACCUCCGAAUUCUGGGUUCAAGCUAUUCUCCUGCCUCAGCCUCCUGAGUAACUGGGAUUGCAGGCGCCCGCCACCAUGCCUGACUAAUUUUUGUAUUUUUGGUAGAGAUGGGGUUUCACCAUGUUGGCCAGGCUGAUCUUGGACUCCUGACCUCGGGUGAUCUGCCCACCUCCUCCUCCCAAAGUGCUGCGAUUACAGGUGUGAGCCCCCAUGCCCAGUCCAAGAUGGGAAUUUUUGUCUAACAGAAAAGCAAAAACCAAAAAUUCAGACUUGCACUAAAAUGGUAGCAGGUUUGCCUUACUAAUGGCCACUGAAGCUUGGUUUACUAACUCAGUAACGUUAAGUGCUAGAUAAACUGGAUGUUAGGUUACUGUUUAGUACAUAUCAGCACAGCGUUAGACACUUGAAACUAUGGCUCUUACGCUGAUAUUAGUAAAUACUCUAUUCUUACAGGGAAAAUCAUUCACUCUUCAAGAGUUCAGGCUGGAAAAAAUGUAAAAUAGAAAUGGCUACAGGAUACUCCUCUGGUUCUGUGUUUUGCUCUAGAAAUGAAUGGGUGAUAAACCAAGAGUGACACCUAUGUUAUCAGGUGCUUUUGAGGAGUGACAGUUUAUCAAUAUGCAAUCCACAUUGAGGCUUUUCACUGCUGUUCCACUAUGCCAAAGUGCAAUGGGCAAUACUCAUCACAAAAGCAGCUUGAAGCUGUAAACGCAAAAGAGGAAUUACUUUUAGAGAAGCUGGUUUAACUGUACAAAUUUAAAGUCAAGAAUUAACCAAAGAUUCAAGGCUAAGAACUGAAAGAAGGCAUAUAUAAUGUCAUACCUGAAUCUCCUACUAAAUACUGAAGUUUGGCAUUAGGUCAGUUUGAAAAUAGUUGUUAAAACUUAGCCUUCAGGCUGGGCACGGUGGCUGACACCUGUAAUCCCAACACUUUGGGAGGCCGAGGCAGUGAGUCACUUAAGGUCAGGAGUUGUUGACUAGCCUGGCCAACAUGAUGAAACCCCGUCUCUACUAAAAAUACAAAAAUUAGCUGGGCGUGGUGGCAGGUGCUUGUAAUCUCAGCUACUCAGGAGGCUGAGGCAGGAAACUCAGUGUCAAAACAAACAACAAAACAGAAUGAAAAACUUGGCUUUCUAAAUUUGACUAGUGAAUGGGGGAAAAAGUAUUUUUUUUUAAAUUCUGAGUUUGUUUACAGAUGUACAAAAGCUAAAACAUAGUGUUGCAUUUUGUGUCUAGAUUAAAAGAAAAUACAGUUGCCUAAAAUAAUAUCCUAUAUUUUAAAUUGUGCUGUACAUCAACUGCAGUAAUCCCCCCUACCGCCCACAGUAGUUCUUUGCAAUGCAUUUAGCGUGAACUCCUGUUGAGGAGCAGCUUUUGUUACAAAUUCCAUGUGGGAUUACUACUUUGAAAACUGAAAUAAGCGAUUUCACUUUUUCGUAGCUCUGAUUUGAACCUCAUUUGAAAAUAAGUGUAUUGCAGAUUUACGCUAACACAUUUCCAGUAGGUGAGAUCAAGUGUUGUAGCCACUACUUUGAGAAGAAAAUGUGCUAAUGUGCUGUACAAAACACAUGGGUCCAGGAAGAAAAUAAAAUAGCAGCUCAUAUUUUCAAGUGACAGCAGACUGUACCCCGACUCAGCACCAAUCCAUCCAAAUCCUUUAGUAGCUUUAAAAUGUGGAUGUCACAGGUCCCAAUGGUGACUUCAGUACAGCACCAAACAAGAAGUGGGCGUGUGAGGUCUGUGUUCUGGCCCAGGGGGGCAAUGCCUAGCUCUAAGAAAGCAGUCUGUACAGUUCUUCUCAAAUUUGGUCUCAACUCCAAAUGUUAUCCCCCAUUAAAAAAAUAAAAAGCUUGUUUAUUCCUAUGAAACCCUACCGUGGUGACUUUGAUUAAAAAUGCAUCUCCUUAGGAAAAUAACUUGGAAUUAAAUGUAAAAAAAGAAAAAAUGCAUCUCCUUUAUAGCUUUCCCAAAUGGGCUGAAUUUAGACUGUCCUACUGGUAGCCAUUUGUCGUCUCCAAAGCAGGAAUUUUUCUCAUCUGCAUUUCAAAAACUCUUGUCUUUGUUACAGUCAGUUUUCUUUUCAUCAGAAGUUAAUUUCAGGCCCACUGCGGUAGCUCUGUAAUCCCAGCACUUUGGGAGGUUGAGGUGGGCAGAUAACCUGAGGUCGGGAGUUCAAGACCAGCCUGGCCAUCAUGGUGAAACCCUGUCUCUACUAAAAAUACAAAAAUUAGUGGGGCAUUGGGGUGCGCGCCUGUAAUCCCAGCUACUCAAGAGGCUGAGGCAAGAAAAUCAGUUGAACCUGGGAGGCAGAGGUUGCAGUAAGCCAAGAUCCCGCCACUGCACUCCAGCCUGGGCAACAGAACGGGAUUCCAUCUCAAAAAAAAAAAGUUAAUUUUGCUGUCACAACCACUGAGUAAUAAUAAUGCUGCAAACAUGUUAUGGGACUGAAGAAACUAAAGACAGGAGGUGAGGGUGGCCAUCAGAACUGAGGCACAGCUCCUACAUGUGUGAAGUGCACUUUGCCUUAAAUUGUGUUCUCUCCCAGUUGCUCCCUUGAUUUAACAUGGGAGAUUGAGUUCACCUUGACCUCUGGAAAGCUCAUCACUCCAGGUGCACAGUCAUUAAUCAUGUCUAAAGUAUUUGUGUUUGGUUUAGAGAAAUCCUAGUGUCAGGCAUAUCCUUGCUGGGGUUUUCUGGAUAUACUCAGUGUCUUUUUUUAUAAGAAAAGUCAGCUUUCUUUACAGUUGAUGCAACUCUCAUGUUAAAAAGGGGGGGGCGGGGGGCAGAUGCUGUGGCUCAUGCCUGUAAUCCCAGCACUUUGGGAGGCCAAGGUGGGUAGAUCACCUGAGGUCAGGAGUUUGAGACCAGCCUGGCCAACAUAAUGAAACCCCAUGUCUACUAAAAAUAUAUAAAUUAGCUGGGUGUAGUGGUGGGUGCCCGUAGUCCCAGCUACUUUGGAGGCUGAGGCAGGAGAAUCACUUGAACCUGGGAAGUGGAGAUUGCAGUGAGCCAAGAUUGCACCACUGCACUACAGCCUGGGUGACACAACGAGAGUGUCUCGGGGAAAAAAAAGUCAACUAAUAAAAUCUGUUAGCUUAGAAUUUUUUUUUGAGACGGAGUCUGUCUCUGUUGCCCAGGCUGGAGUGCAGUAGAACAGUCUCGGCUCACUGCAACCUCCUCUUCCCAAGUUCAAGUGAUUCUCCUGCUUCAGCCUCCCAAGUAGCUGGGAUUACAGGUACCUGCCACCAUGCCUGGCUAAUUUUAUCUAUUUUCAGUAGAGAUGAGGUUUCAUCAUGUUGGCCAGGAUGGUCUCAAACUCCUGACCUCAGGUGAUCCGCCUGUGUUGGCGUCCCAACAUCAUAUCUGCCCACUCUGCUGAUGCCCCCAUGUUCGUGAACUAUGACAACAGCCUCAAGAUCGUCAGCAAUGCCUCCUGCACCACCAACUGCUUAGCGCCCUGGCCAAGGUCAUCCAUGACAACUUUGGUAUCAUGGAAGGACUCAUGACUACCGUCCACGCCAUCACUGCCACCCAGAAGACCAUGGCCCCUCCGGGAAACUGUGGCAUGAUGGCUAUGGGGCUCUCCAGAACACCAUCCCUGCCUCUACUGGCACUGCCAAGGCCACGGGCAAGGUCAUCCCUGAGCUGAACAGGAAGCUCACUGGCAUGGCCUUCCAUGUCCCCACUGCCAACAUGUCAGUGGUGGACCUGACCUGCCAUCUGGAAAAACCUGCCAAAUAUGAUGACAUCAAGAAGGUGGUGAAGCAGGCGUCGGAGGGCCCCCUCCAGGGCAUCCUGGGCUACACUGAGCACCAGGUGGUGUCCUCUGACUUCAACAGUGACACCCAUUCUUCCACCUUCGAUGCUGGGGCUGGCAUUUCCCUCAACCACCACUUUGUCGAGCUCAUUUCCUGGUAUGACAAUGAAUUUGGCUACAGCAACAGGGUGGUGGACCUCAUGUCCCACAUGGCCUCCAAGGAGUAAGACCCCUGGACCACCAGCCUCAGUGAGAGCACGAGAGGAAGAGAGGCCCUCACUGCUGGGGGUCCCUGCCACACUCAGUCCCCCACCACACUGAAUUGCCCCUCCUCACAGUUUCCAUGCAGACCCCUUGAAGAGGGAGGGGCCUAGGGAGCCCCACCUUGUCGUGUACCAUCAAUAAAGUCCCCUGUGCUAAAAAAAAAAAAAAAGCCCUGUGUGGAGGUACACGCCUGUGAUCCCAGCUACUCAGGAGGCUGAAGCAGGAAAAUCACUUGAACCUGGGAGGUGGAAGUUGCAGUGAGCCAAGAUCACACCACUGUACUCCAGCCUGGGGGGCAGAGUGAGACUCUAUCUCCAAAAAUAAAAAUUUUUAAAAAUGACCUUUUUGCUGCUGUUAUAGUUACCAUUGAUGCUGGGUUAAAAGAAUUGGCUGUCCAAAGGGGCAGAUACUUGGCUGGGUUUUUUGUUUUGAAGUUACCAGGUUUUUGGCGUCAUGUAGGGUGAAUGACUUUGGAAGGCAGUAGUGCCUCACAGGUGGUUCAAAGGCUGGUCCAGCUGGACUGGCUGCUUGAAGAACAACUGGAUCCCACUCCUGGAGACUGAGUAUAGGUUUGGCAU